GUGUUUGCUUCUGCAACACAUAUACUAAAAUUGGAACAAUACAGAGAUUAGCAUGGCCCCUGUGCAAGGACCACACUCAACAAAAAGAAAGGAAGAAUGAAAGA